GGCAUAGAAGCUGCUUACUAUUCUUACAGGUAGCCAACGGCGGUUGCCCCAUCACGACAAUGACGUCGC
rnacentral:ncRNA from 1 species